rnacentral:rRNA from 1 species
UACGUAGGGUGCAAGCGUUGCCCGGAUUUAUUGGGCGUAAAGGGCGCGCAGGCGGCCGAGCACGUCCGUUGUGAAAUCGCCUGGCUCAACUGGGCGGGGUCAGCGGAUACGGCUAGGCUGGAGCAAGCUAGGGGGCAAUGGAAUUCCCGGUGUAGUGGUGGAAUGCGUAGAUAUCAAGAGGAACACCUGAGGUGAAGACGGGUUGCUGGGCCGACACUGACGCUGAGUGCGCGAAAGCCGGGGGAGCAAACGGG